CGCAAAAAUCUUCCCAUAUAGGGAUGUUCAUACAUGCCUGGUUCCAAACCCGAAGGUUUUUAAUCUUGCUCAACAAUAAUAUGUAAUUCAACAUAUAUAUAUACGGGUAAUUGACAAAGGUGUAUCAACAUGUGAAUAAAUACCAUGAUUAUCCAAGUGGGAACACUCGUAUAACCAUUUAGAAAUCAAUGAACAGAAUAUAUAUCUGAGCUAACAUGUCGAUAAUCAAAGAGUACAUAAUCUGUACAGGGAUAGAAUAAUUCUGAAACUUCUUACUCAUGUCCAUUGCAUAAAGGAAGUGCAAAGGUAGGAUACUUGCCUGAUUCGCUGAUUACAAAUCUCAACUUAGGUUUUAUCUCUUUAUCACAACCUAUCAAUAAUCAGAUCAUUCGUUCGAUUAGAACAAUAUAUCUUAACACAUAGUACUGUCUAUUACAGUCAGCACAUAGUCUAAUCACAUAAUCACAGUGAUCAUACUUUUAGUUCCUAUUCUAUACUUGAAAUAUUUUUAUACAUUUUUCAAAUAUCUCAUCCAUGCUCUUACAGAAGUCUUUUCUUUCUAUUAUAGGGUCUGACAUUUGUCGGCGUACCGACAGCUUUAUCGGGUAAAUACUGAGUCUAAGACUCUUAUCCUAUACCUCAACAUCUGUAAAUAUCAAACAUUUUAUUUUUAAUCAUUUUCGAAUUUUCCAGAAAUUGAA
rnacentral:lncRNA from 1 species